AGUUACCUUAAAUUUUAAUAUUUUAUUAUUAUAUCAUAUUUUAGUGCUCCAAAAAUCUUAUAAUUUUCAGUGAUGGUAGUACAAGGAUUUAAGUCUAAAUUUUAAAUAGGGCGAGUGAAAGUAUAUGUUAAGCCAAACUUCACUGAUUUUUAAUAAUUUACCCUAAACAAUUACACAUCAAAAAGCCUAACAGAUAAAAUUACAAAUAGUGAAAAGAGAGAAGAAUAGAAGGAG
rnacentral:misc_RNA from 1 species